GGCUAUGACGGAGUUUUGGUUGUUUCUGACACCUCUUGUAUGCGAAAGGUUUUCCUUAAACCCUUCCUUGAUCACAUAAAACAACCAUCUGAGCC